rnacentral:lncRNA from 1 species
AGAGCGUCUCGGGGCUGGAGGCGGGGUUGCCUGGGUUCGGGGCCCUUGCCCAGACCCCCGUCGGGCCCGCCAGCUCGAGCUGGAUUGGGAGGGAGGGAAGAGGAAGCUGAGCGUUCCUGGGGCGGAGGACGCGUCUAAGAGUCAACAGCUGCUGGAGCGUGAGCCUUACCCCGGGUUCGCUUUCCCAGCACCUGCCCCUCCUCCGGAGCGCUGGUAGCUCCUCCUCCUCGCACCUGCCCGAAGAUCUCAGGACAGCCCCAGCCCUCCCCAUGCAGAGCCCUCUGCCCAGAGACUUCAGCGCUGCAUUCGUGGAGGCCCUGGCCACAGAAAGGGCAAUGCCAGGAAGCUGGUGAAGG